UCCAUGGAACCAAGUAUUGUCAUCAAAUUGUGGGGCCAUUCUCUCCUCCAGAGGCCAUGACUUGUCCUGCGUGGAUUGCCACUUCUUUCUGUCAGGCAUUGAAGCAUCUGCCAUCUGGCAAGCAACCACCGGAGGUGUGGCUCAUGGAACGAUGAAGGUUGCUUCGAUGGGUAAGAGCUCCAUGCCAAGCCCAUGGUGUUGUCAUAUCGUCACUGCUUAUGAUCUGUCUAUUGAAAUGGCUAAUAUAAGAAUAUAGGCAAGAUUCAUCCUAUUCUAUCUUGUGAAAAUUAAAUCUUUAUUGUUUUGUAAUUCCAGUUACUUUUACCAUAGGCUAAUAAUAAUGGCAUCCGGUUGCAAAUGAGAUGCACUACCAAUGAUGCAUCUGCAAAGGCAUGCCAAGAAUUUCCAGAAGAACUGGCUGCAAAGUGUUUAAGGUUUCAAAACAAGCUGGCUGAAGGACGAUGCUACUUUUCAUGAUGGAUUUGAGACAUUGUUAU